ACUUUUAAAGGAUAAAAGUCAUCCAUUGGCUUUAGGCGCCACAAACUCU
rnacentral:tRNA from 1 species